ACAAUGCAUUAACAACGCUGUAAAAUCGCGUGCUAAUUUUAGUGCAUAGUCGUGUGACAAAAAAAAAAUAUUAUAUUUAAAGUAUUUUCGUGCCAGAUCGCGCAGUUCGUCGCCCGAAAGGAGGGUACUAGUGGCACGCGUGUUGUCGCCACCUUUGCCAGUAGCAUCCCCGCCUGCGCUGAGAGCGCUUCCACUACGAACGGCAAAGAGCGCGGCUCUACGAGGCAAACCAAGACACUUCCGCGCCGGGGAUGGCGCUUUACCUAUUAUAACUGGCAAGGCGGUCCGUACUCCGCGGCUCGCCAUCGUGGACCUGAGCACGUACGUGCGCACGCCCGCGUCCGUCGCCGGCCGGCGCCGCACUGACGCACGCGGCUCGCGGUCCACGCGCCCGCGUAUCACCAGCGACGAGUACGACACGCACGACUCGGACUCGUAGCUUCGGGCUAUUUUCCAGAGACAUCCUGGGACGUUACUGUACCGAGAGAACGCUUCCAUUUUUCAUAGCUUAUAUUGUAACCGAAUAGUCUAAAUCAAUUUACUCGAUUUAUCUCGUUUACGCAGUUACUUGCUUCUCAUAAUAUUUAAACUCGCUCCGAACUGGAUGUAUCUGAAGAUUAAAGAAAUGUUGUAAUAAAA